AUGGAAGCCUGUGGAACACUUAUGUCCCCAAUUGUAGCUAUGUUGGUUACGCAGCAUGCACUGAGAAAUAAAAAUAGAGACUCAAAAAUAAUUUUCCUCCCAGUUGUAUCUUUGAACUACAUAGGCACGGAGGAUAUUGAAAUUCAAGGAAAACUUCCUGCUCUCAAAUAUUCCAGAGAUAAGCCUUCUCAUUUGGAAAUGCAUUGGACAUUUACAGAAAUGUUAGAAAACAGUCUAUUGUAUCUAAUGCUAAGAAGAAUAUUCUUCGUUGGACUUAUAGCAAUCCUACUUGUCUUUCCGGUGUGCCUCGAAGACUCUGACCACUCUUCCAUGGGUCAUUUUUCAAGAUUGUUUAUGUACCUGGUGACUUUCGCAGGUAAGAGAAUUAGUUGUCUCCUGGACAAAGAGAUGCUUGCUUACUGCUUGCUGUAAAUUUGAUCACUCCCCCAAGCUAAGUGUUACUCAGCUAUGACUCAAAACGCCACUGCAUGUACAGAAUCCAUUUGGGCCUUUUCACAUCACUCUCGUGGAACUAAGAACAAAAGGAAAGCAACACAAAUAUGCGGAUGUUCAUGACGCUUGUGCCAUAAGUGAUGCAUUCCUUGCUCUCUGACCCAAGAGCCUGUUGUUUACUGCCAGCACCAGUGAGUGGUAACAGGUUAACACAUGAGUUUGUAAUUGGGUAAAAUCAAGUUCUGGACCUAACACCUACCUUGCAGCAGUAUUGUAAAGGUCAGUGUAUUUGUGUAUAUGAAAGUAAUUCAAAAUUGUAAAAUCCUAUGCAAUGGUGAAGAAUUGUUACUCUAAAAUAGUAAAAAGUAUUUAAGGAAGAGCAAAGCUGCUUUUGGGGCUUCCCUGGUGGCUCAGACAGUAAAGAAUCUG
rnacentral:lncRNA from 1 species